rnacentral:rRNA from 1 species
AAACUAACAAGGAUUCCCCUAGUAACGGCGAGUGAAGCGGGAAGAGCUCAAAUUUGAAAUCUAAUGGCCUCAGGUCAUUCGAGUUGUAAUCUAUAGGAACGUUUUCCGUGCCGGCUCAUGUACAAGUCCCUUGGAACAGGGCGUCAUAGAGGGUGAGAAUCCCGUACUUGACAUGAACUACCGGUGCUCUGUGAUACGUCUCCAACGAGUCGAGUUGUUUGGGAAUGCAGCUCAAAAUGGGUGGUAAAUUCCAUCUAAAGCUAAAUAUUGGUGUGAGACCGAUAGCGAACAAGUACCGUGAGGGAAAGAUGAAAAGCACUUUGGAAAGAGAGUUAAAAAGUAUGUGAAAUUGUUGAAAGGGAAACGAUUGAAGUCAGUCAUGUCCUUCAGAUUCAGCUGGUUCUGCCGGUGUAUUUCUGUUGGAUGGGGUCAACAUCAGUUUUGGAUGCCGGAUAAAGGCAGGAGGAAGGUAGUACUCUCGGGUAAACUUAUAGCCUCCUGUUGCAUACGGUGACUGGGACUGAGGAACGCAGCUUGCCUUUAUGGCCGGGGUUCGCCCACGUACAAGCUUAGGAUGUUGACAUAAUGGCUUUAAACGAC